ACUCAAAGGAAUAGACGGGGGCCCGCACAAGCGGCGGAGCAUGCGGAUUAAUUCGAUGCAACGCGAAGAACCUUACCUGGGUUUGACAUACACCGGAAGCCCCUAGAGAUAGGGGUCUCUUUGAUACUGGUGUACAGGUGGUGCAUGGCUGUCGUCAGCUCGUGUCGUGAGAUGUUGGGUUAAGUCCCGCAACGAGCGCAACCCUCGUUCCAUGUUGCCAGCACGUAAUGGUGGGGACUCAUGGGAGACUGCCGGGGUCAACUCGGAGGAAGGUGGGGAUGACGUCAAGUCAUCAUGCCCCUUAUGUCCAGGGCUUCACGCAUGCUACAAUGGCCGGUACAAAGGGCUGCGAUCCCGUGAGGGGGAGCGAAUCCCAAAAAGCCGGUCUCAGUUCGGAUUGGGGUCUGCAACUCGACCCCAUGAAGUCGGAGUCGCUAGUAAUCGCAGAUCAGCAACGCUGCGGUGAAUACGUUCCCGGGCCUUGCACACACCGCCCGU
rnacentral:rRNA from 1 species